ACAACAAAAUUGCUGUAACUUGCAACAAAAUCUGAUUUCAACGCAUGUUAAGUAGAAAUGUCGACACAUGUUGCCUUGUGAUUUGUAAUGUAUGUGUAAACAUUUUUAAUUAAUUAAUUAACAUGCGUUGAAAUCAGAUUUUGUUGCAAGUUGCAGCAAUUUUGUUG